rnacentral:rRNA from 1 species
UACGGGGGGAGCAAGCGUUGUUCGGAUUUACUGGGCGUAAAGGGCGCGUAGGCGGUCAGCACAAGUCAAUUGUGAAAUCUCCGAGCUUAACUCGGAAAGGUCAACUGAAACUGUGCGACUAGAGUGCGGAAGGGGCAACUGGAAUUCUUGGUGUAGCGGUGAAAUGCGUAGAUAUCGAGAGGAACACCUGCGGCGAAGGCGGGUUGCUGGGCUGACACUGACGCUGAGGCGCGAAAGCUAGGGGAGCGAUCCGG